UACGGGGGGGGCAAGCGUUGUUCGGAAUUACUGGGCGUAAAGGGCUCGUAGGUGGCCAACUAAGUCAGACGUGAAAUCCCUCGGCUUAACCGGGGAACUGCGUCUGAUACUGGAUGGCUUGAGUUCGGGAGAGGGAUGCGGAAUUCCAGGUGUAGCGGUGAAAUGCGUAGAUAUCUGGAGGAACACCAGUAGCGAAGGCGACACUCUGGGCCGGUACUGACGCUGAGGAGCGAAAGCGUGGGGAGCAAACAGGG
rnacentral:rRNA from 1 species